rnacentral:rRNA from 1 species
ACACUCCUACGGGAGGCAGCAGUGGGGAAUUUUGGACAAUGGGGGCAACCCUGAUCCAGCAAUGCCGCGUGAGUGAAGAAGGCCUUCGGGUUGUAAAGCUCUUUUGUCAGGGAAGAAACGGUAGUAGCGAAUAACUAUUACUAAUGACGGUACCUGAAGAAUAAGCACCGGCUAACUACGUGCCAGCAGCCGCGGUAAUACGUAGGGUGCAAGCGUUAAUCGGAAUUACUGGGCGUAAAGCGUGCGCAGGCGGUUGUGUAAGUCAGAUGUGAAAUCCCCGGGCUCAACCUGGGAAUUGCAUUUGAGACUGCACGGCUAGAGUGUGUCAGAGGGGGGUAGAAUUCCACGUGUAGCAGUGAAAUGCGUAGAUAUGUGGAGGAAUACCGAUGGCGAAGGCAGCCCCCUGGGAUAACACUGACGCUCAUGCACGAAAGCGUGGGGAGCAAACAGGAUUAGAAACCCGUGUAGUCCC